rnacentral:rRNA from 1 species
AUGACGUGGGGCGCCUCAGCCGCGCCCGCCUCCUCCUCCGGCGGCGUUGGUGAAGAAGGAGAGCAGGUCGACGGAGGAGCCCGCUCUUCCUCCAGCGCCAGGCUGCAGGUCGUCGUCGAGGAAGAGCUGUUCCUCGGGCACCCGGAACGCGCCGUGCGCGCAGGCGAGCGCGGCGCCGGCCGCGAGGGCGGAGAAGACGAUGGACCCGACGGAGGUCACGAAGACGACGAACGCCGACGCCGCCAGGAGCCCGCCCAGCGUCUCCCUCUCGGAGAAGGUCUUCCCAAAGGCCGCGAGCGGGGGCGCGUCGGCGGGGCGGAGGAGGUAGAGCGCGCACCAGGCGGCGAGGAGCGCGAGCAGGGCGGCGAGCGCGAACGGGUGCGCGAGGAGGGAGGCGGCGAGGGAGAGCGCGACGAGGAGGGCGUAGUUGACGCGGAAGUAGGCGAGGUUCCUGCGGACGCGGGCGGUGGCGUCGGCGAGGGAGUCCGGGCGGCUGAGCGCCGCGCGGUGGAGGAGCUCCGCCCACGGGCGCGCGCCGGAGAGGGAGCGCUUGGCGGAGUCGAGGAGGCGGGCGAGGUAGGCGCGCUGGUCGGCCGCCGAGGAGGUGUCCGGAACGGGGAGGACGAUGGUGGCGGUCGCGGCGGUGGCCGCCGGGAGGACGGAGACGGGGAGGAGGGGAGGAGAAGCCGCGGCCAUGGCGUCGGUGGAUGCCACCGUAUCUGGGAGAGAAGAAUGUUUAGGAGCGAUGAACGAUGGCGCGCGUUUCCCUCUCUGUUAACAAGCAAAGGUCAACCGUCAACGCUUGCACGCGCUGCCGUGGUGUACUACAGGCCAAAAGGCAGACCAUUCACACACAUGCAUUGUUGGAUGAAUCUCAAGGGACAAUAUGUGUGGGACAACAUGUGCCGGAACUGGAGUUAG